rnacentral:tRNA from 1 species
GCUGGCGUAGCUCAGCUGGUAGAGCAGCGGUUUCGUAAACCGCAGGUCGACAGUUCAAAUCUGUCCGCCAGCU